rnacentral:rRNA from 1 species
AGUGAACGCUGGCGGUAUGCCUAACACAUGCAAGUCGAACGGCAGCACAGUAAGAGCUUGCUCUUACGGGGUGCGAGUGGCGGACGAGUGAGGAAUACAUCGUAAUCUACUUUUUCGUGGGGGAUAACGUAGGGAAACUUACGCUAAUACCGCAUACGACCUACGGGUGAAAGCAGGGGAUCUUCGGACCUUGCGCGAUUGAAUGAGCCGAUGUCGGAUUAGCUAGUUGGCGGGGUAAAGGCCCACCAAGGCGACGAUCCGUAGCUGACCUGAGAGGAUGAUCAGCCACACUGGAACUGAGACACGGUCCAGACUCCUACGGGAGGCAGCAGUGGGGAAUAUUCGACAAUGGGCGCAAGCCUGAUCCAGCCAUACCGCGUGAGUGAAGAAGGCCUUCGGGUCGUAAAGCCCUUUUGUUGGGAAAGAAAAGCAGCAGGUUAAUAACCCGCUGUUCUGACGGUAACCAAAGAAUAAGCACCGGCUAACUUAGUG